AUUGAACGCUGGCGGCAGGCCUAACACAUGCAAGUCGAACGCGUGGCGGACGGGUGAGUAAUGUCUGGGAAACUGCCUGAUGGAGGGGGAUAAAUACGGAAAACGGGAGCUAAUACCGCAUACCAGCAGCUGUGCCCAGACGGGAUUAGCUAGUUGGGGGGGUAACGGCUCACCAAGGCGACGAUCCCUAGCGGGUCUGAGAGGAUGACCAUCCGACCUGGAACUGAUGCACGGUCCAGCCUCUUACGGUAGUCAGCAGUGGGGAAUAUUGCACAAUGGGCGCAAUCCUGCUGCCGCCAUGCCGCGUGUAUGCAGAAGGCCUUCGGGUUUUAAGGUACUUUCAGCGGGUAGGCGUUACCCGCAGAAGAAGCACCGGCUAACUCCGUGCCAGCAGCCGCGGUAAUUC
rnacentral:rRNA from 1 species